ACAAAAGAGAAUCGUUUAGACGUCAUUUCGAUAGAAUUGUUUAGAUCCAGACGUCAUGCGAUGUGAGACCUACCUAACACUUUUGAUUGACAAAUUGACUCUAUUGCCAAAUAUAACGAUCCAAACUGUUCUGUUAGCACAAAUAAUCUGUUGGAUCAAAAAUAAAUUCUUAUCUUAUCAUAAUUCUGCGUUAGGACUACUUUCAGGCAUCUGUAUCUUAUCAUCAUUCUUUUUUCU
rnacentral:lncRNA from 1 species